UAAGAGGAUUAAAUACUGGACUAAUCUCCUUUAAGGUUCAUUUAGAACAGAUAGAAAUGAGUGAUUAAAUAUUUUAAUAUGACAGCCCUAAUCACGAUGUUUGUUUUUACCAAAUACCUCGAUAUCCAUAUUGUAGGACAACUGAAUAUAUCCAGUCUGAUCUACGUCACCUGAACGCAGCAUCACUUCUGGGGCGCCGGCGUGGUGUUUUCAGGUCGUCCGUCCGUCCAUCCGUCCUGUCCGUGUUUGUCGAAGGUGGAGCUGCAACAAUUACUCCAUAAGUUGUCGACUAUUAAUAAUAAUGAUAAUCGAUGAAUCAUUUUGAGUCCGUUUUUAAAAAGUCUAAAUUCUGAUUGCAGCUCGUUAAGUGUGAAUAUUUUCUGUGACAGUAAACUGAAUAACUCUGAGGGGUUUAUAGACCAAACAACUGAUCGAUUAAUUGAGAAAUUGUGACGAUUUCAGGAUCAAAUGACGUUUUGGAGCGACGGCGGGUGUAACGGCGUGACCGGCUGGCGGAGGGAUACGACCACGAGGCGACUAGUCUAGUUGGCAUUCUGUGUUUCUUCCCAAACUCUCUCAGAAACGUCUUUGUGUCUUGAGAAACGUCUCUUGUUGUUGUUGUUCCAUGCUGCUAAACUAAAGGAGGGGUGCGUUCACAACACCGCUAAAACAAAAAAACUGUUAAACGGAAGUUAACGGGGCUUUUUUCUGCGAGUUCGUCCUCCCGUCAGCGAACGGUUUGAAUAUCCGUGUGCUGACACCUGUUAGACGUCACCGAGGAAACCGACCACAGGAAACAAACAUUACGUUUCUCUGCGAAACAUCAACCAGAAAAAAACCUGCGCUGUAACGGUAACGCAGCCUGAGAGGAAACACUGAACCGGUAACGGUAACGCAGCCUUAGAGGUAACACUGAACCGGUAACGGUAACACAGCCUUAGAGGAAACACUGAACUGGUAACGGUGACGCAGCCUUAGAGGUAACACUGAACCGGUAACGGUAACGCAGCCUUAGAGGUAACACUGAACCGGUAACGGUAACGCAGCCUUAGAGGUAACGGUAACGCAGCCUUAGAGGUAACACUGAACCGGUAACGGUGACGCAGCCUGAGAGGAAACACUGAACCGGUAACGGUAACACAGCCUGAGAGGAAACACAGAACCGGUAACGGUAACGCAGCCUGAGAGGAAACACAGAGCCGGUAACGGUAACGCAGCCUGAGAGGAAACACAGAGCCGGUAACGGUAACGCAGCCUGAGAGGAAACAAUGAACCGGUAACGGUAACGCAGCCUGAGAGGAAACACUGAACCGGUAACGGUAACGCAGCCUGAGAGGAAACACGGAGCCGGUAACGGUAACGCAGCCUGAGAGGAAACACUGAACCGGUAACGGUAACGCAGCCUGAGAGGAAACACGUUGAAACGCGUCGGAGCUGAACAGCAGAAGAAGAUCGGAGGGUUUUUUCCUUUAAGGCGUCUCCAGCUGCAGCAGUCAGAGGAGAAGAAGAAGAUCCAGCUGUUCCUAACGAAGGAACAGAACAUCUGGAGUUUUAACCCGUCGAGGUUUCGUUGUAUUUUACGUUUUUUAAUCUUUAAAUCUGAACUUUCAGAUUGAGACUUUUUUACUGUUUUUAACAAGUUCAAACGUGUCGGUUUAGUUUCUAAAUCACCAACGACCACGUCGGGUUAAACAUCGGAAUCUGUCUCUCUGAGCUGAUUGGACGCCGGUCCUAACGAGGACAGAUGAUUGGUUAAUACACCCCCCACCCCCCAACUCAGCCCCUGUAGGGCUAAUCGGAGCCCUGCGUUUCAACCACCAACCAGGCGAAGGAUUCAGGCGUUACUGUCGUUCCGUACGGACGUUUUCUGUUUGUGUAAAAUAAAUCUAGUUUUUAUAAUCGUUUUUAUAAAUGUCUCGUCAGGAGGAUUCUGGGUCGUCUUCACUCCCGUCCCGCCCCGUCCCGUCAUCACUCUCGAUCUCAGAGGAGGUUUCACGUCAUGUAGGAAGUAGAUGAGAGAGGGAGGACUGGCUGAGGAGGAGGAGGAGGAGGAGGAGGAGGAGAUCCAUUACAACAGAAAACAUUUGUAGAACAUUUCUAACUUCACUGGCUUCUGGUAAUUAACUAGGAAGUGUUUGGCUUUACAAACUGGUACCUGAACGCACCAUAGUCCCAGUGACGGGUCGUGUCCACAGGGGCGUUUUUUAUGGCGAGGGAUCUCCUCGCUUCCCCAGCGUUGGGACGCUUGACAGGCUGCUACUAGACACCUGAUUGGACGAACUCUUUCCCUCCGUGGGCCGCUGCUCUCAAACCGGAACCAACAUGGCGGCUCGUUUGGAAACUUUCUUAUUACGUAGACAACGAAUGGGAAGCGUGGAAAGGACUGCGCUGUGGACACGUACCGUUAUGUCUCAUCAAAUGUUUCCAGAAACACAUUUCAGUGCUGUAGAAGAAGAAAGUUUCCAAACGAGCCGCCAUGUUGGUUCCGGUUUCAAAGCGAAAGAGUUCGUCCGAUCGGGUGUCUAGUAGCGGCACAUCAAGCUUCCAACGCUGGGAAGCGAGGAGAUCGCAAUAAAAAACGCAGCUGUGGGCACGAACCGUUCCAUCGACAACGUUUAGUUUGAAGUUUCAAGGGAGUUUCCAGAGGCGGCGAGUCGCGUCUGACGCCCCUGAUUUACAUAAAGUAGCCUCGACCUCAACUUUAUGCAAAUGAGGAGCGGCCGACGUGACGCCUCGUCUCUCGAAUUGCGCCGCCACGCUACCAGAAUGCAUUGUUGCACGGCUGCUUACAUAGACAAUGAAUGGGAAGCGUGGAACGGGGAGGCUGGGGACACGGACCAUGAGGCAGGAGAUGCUGCUAUUAGCUUUCUCCUCUUCCUCCUCCUCCUCCUUCUCUUCCUCCUCUUCCUCCUCCUCCUCCUCCUCCUCCUCCUCAUAUCACUGUGUGAGUUUUCUCUUCAUGUUGAGUACAUAUGACUUCUUCGUCGCAGCUUCAACCAUCAGGAGUGAAGUUAUUUAUCUCAUUUUGUCCUCAUAAGGAGAGAAAAGAGGCGGUUUGAGCUCCAGGAGAAACGGUCCAAUCAGACGCCUCCUGGGGCGGGUUUCCGACCACAUAAAGCUGCCACCUGAUUGGCCGACACCCCGACCAGACGUAGUGUUUUUGUUUUAAUUGAAUAGUUUUUUAAAGUGAAGGGAUUUGUAACUCGAGCGUCUCCUGAUGGAUCACAGAUCUUUAUUUUUCUCUCCCCCCACGCUACGACUUCCUGUGUACCUAAAGACUCUUUCUGUUUGUGUAAUGCAUGAUUAAUACGAUAAAAGUAUUUUUUCUAGUCUUCCAGAAAAAUGGAAAAAAAAGUUCUGAUCAGUUUGCGAGUUUUGAUGAGUUUUGUAAUUUUUUUUUUUUGAUUUCUGAACUAUGAAACAGCAGAUUUUAAAGAUUGUACCACAUAGCAGAAUACAACUGUUGAAAUGUAUAUAAAAUGUCUAUAAUAACUAUUAAAUGGUGUACCUGUACAGAG